AUUGAACGCUGGCGGCAGGCCUAACACAUGCAAGUCGAGCGGAUGAAGGGAGCUUGCUCCUGGAUUCAGCGGCGGACGGGUGAGUAAUGCCUAGGAAUCUGCCUGGUAGUGGGGGAUAACGUCCGGAAACGGGCGCUAAUACCGCAUACGUCCUGAGGGAGAACGUGGGGGAUCUUCGGACCUCACGCUAUCAGAUGAGCCUAGGUCGGAUUAGCUAGUUGGGGAGGUACAGGCAUACCAAGGCCACGAUCCAUAACUGGUCUGAGAGGAUGAUCGGUCACAUUGGGACUGAGACACGGCGCAAACUCCUACGUGCGGCAGCAGGAGGGAAUCUUGAGGAAUGGCCGAAAGUCUGAAGGAGCAACGCCGCGUGAGUGAAGAAGGUUUUUGAAUCGUAAAACUCUGUUGUUAGAGAAGAACAAGUGCUAGAGUAACUGUUAGCGCCUUGACGGUAUCUAACCAGAAAGCCACGGCUAACUACGUG
rnacentral:rRNA from 1 species